GCACUUUUUAGUACACCAACACCAUGCUGGUGAUGUGAAAAGUCAUUUACCAAGCCUGGCAAUGGCCAGCUUCUGAGCCACACACCUCACAAUCCAAAGGAAGGAUGUCACAUUUGCCUGAGGGAAUAAAUGGAGAAGGUGUCAUCUAUUCCAGCCCUAAGGAUGGAGGAAGUGCUCCUGCCACCUCAGACACAAAGAAAGUCUCAGUCAUCACAAUAACAAUGCAUAUUAUCCAUACAAUGGAGAAGAAAUGGAGACCUUGGAGGGGUUCACUGCAGGUCAUAGAGGAGAGGUAAAAAUGCAGAGCUGGCCUCAAAAAAAUGAGGAAAAUAUGUGUGAAAGCAACACCCUUCGAGGAGGGAAAGAUGGGCACUGGGAAGGACUCUUCUCUUGUAAAAUUAUCUACAUCAGCAGGUGAGAAUCACAUUCUGUCACAAUAUAUUUCAACAGAUUUUGAAAGCACAAAAGCUAAGGGCAGCUGAAGUAGAAGAGAUUAUCAUAUCUCUGUGCAUAUACAGAUAAUAAAAA